UAAGGAAUCUUCCACAAUGGGCGCAAGCCUGAUGGAGCGACGCCGCGUGCGCGAAGAAGCCCUUCGGGGUGUAAAGCGCUUUUCCCAGGGAUGAAGUUCUGACAGUACCUGGGGAAGAAGCCUCGGCUAACUACGUGCCAGCAGCCGCGGUAAUACGUAGGAGGCAAGCGUUGUCCGGAAUUACUGGGCGUAAAGCGCGUGUAGGUGGUGGGACAAGUCUGCUGUGAAAGCGCCUGGCUUAACCGGGCGAGGUCGGCGGAAACUGUCACACUCGAGGACGGUAGAGGGGGGUGGAAUUCCCGGUGUAGUGGUGAAAUGCGUAGAGAUCGGGAGGAACACCUGUGGCGAAGGCGGCCCCCUGGGCCGGCCCUGACACUGAGACGCGAAGGCGUGGGGAGCGAACGG
rnacentral:rRNA from 1 species